GAUGAACGCUAGCUACAGGCUUAACACAUGCAAGUCGAGGGGUAACGAGAGGAAAGCUUGCUUUCCUUGUCGACGACCGGCGCACGGGUGAGUAACGCGUAUCCAACCUGCCCCCAACUAGGGAAUAACCUUGCGAAAGUAAGACUAAUACCCUAUAAUUUCCUCAGAUGACAUCUGACGAGGAAUAAAGAUUUAUCGGUUGUGGAUGGGGAUGCGUCUGAUUAGCUUGUUGGCGGGGUAACGGCCCACCUAGGCAACGAUCAGUAGGGGUUCUGAGGGGAAGGUCCCCCACAUUGGAACUGAGACACGGUCCAAACUCCUACGGGAGGCAGCAGUGAGGAAUAUUGGUCAAUGGGCGGAAGCCUGAACCAGACAAGUAGCGUGCAGGAUGACGGCCCUAUGGGUUGUAAACUGCUUUUAUACAGGAAUAAAGUUAGCCACGUGUGGUUAUUUGUAGGUACUGUAUGAAUAAGGACCGGCUAAUUCCGUGCCAGCCGCCGCGGUAAGAC
rnacentral:rRNA from 1 species